rnacentral:lncRNA from 1 species
GGGAUUACUGGUAGUUCUGUUUUUAGGUCUUUGAGGAAUUGCCAGACUACUUUCCACAAUGGUUGAACCAGUUUACACUCCCACUAAUAGUGUAUAAGUGUUCCCUUUUCUCUCAAGUGAUUCUCCUGCCUCAGCCUCCCAAGUAGCUGGGACUACAAGUGCCCGCCAGCACACCCAGCUAAUUUUUUGUAUUUUUAGUAGAGACAGGGUUUCACCAUGUUAGCCAGGAUGGUCUCGAUCUCCUGAGCUUGUGAUCCGCCUGCCUCAGCCUCCCAAAGUGCUGGGAUUGCAGGCGUGAGCCACCAUACCCGGCCGAGUUCCUUCCUUAUAGAUGCUGGAUAUUAGACAUUUGUCAGAUGCAUAGUUUGCAAAUAUUUUCUCUCAUUCUGUACGUUGUCUGUUUACUCUGUUGAUAGUU